CAGUAGCCGCGGUAAUACGUAGGUGGCAAGCGUUGUCCGGAAUUAUUGGGCGUAAAGCGUGCGCAGGCGGUUUUGUAAGACGGGCGUGAAAUCCCCGGGCUCAACCUGGGAAUGGCGCUUGUGACUGCAAAGCUAGAGUGCGGCAGAGGGGGAUGGAAUUCCGCGUGUAGCAGUGAAAUGCGUAGAUAUGCGGAGGAACACCGAUGGCGAAGGCAAUCCCCUGGGCCUGCACUGACGCUCAUGCACGAAAGCGUGGGGAGCAAACAGGAUUAGAUACCCCAGUAGUCCCUGUCUCUUAUAC
rnacentral:rRNA from 1 species